AGAUCAUCACUGGGUUUAAAGGGUGCGCAGGCGGUUUUGUAAGACAGAGGUGAAAUCCCCGGGCUCAACCUGGGAACUGCCUUUGUGACUGCAAGGCUGGAGUGCGGCAGAGGGGGAUGGAAUUCCGCGUGUAGCAGUGAAAUGCGUAGAUAUGCGGAGGAACACCGAUGGCGAAGGCAAUCCCCUGGGCCUGCACUGACGCUCGUGCACGAAAGCGUGGGGAGCAAACA
rnacentral:rRNA from 1 species